rnacentral:rRNA from 1 species
GCAUAUCAAUAAGCGCAGGAAAAGAAACCAACAGGGAUUGCCUCAGUAACGGCGAGUGAAGCGGCAACAGCUCAAAUUUGAAAUCUGGCCUCUCGGGGUCCGAGUUGUAAUUUGUAGAGGAUGUUUCGGGUACCGCCUCGGUUUAAAUUUCUUGGAACAGAAUGUCAAAGAGGGUGAGAAUCCCGUCUUGGACCGGUGGUAGGGCCUAUGUGAAACUCCUUCGACGAGUCGAGUUGUUUGGGAAUGCAGCUCAAAAUGGGUGGUAAAUUUCAUCUAAAGCUAAAUAUUGGCCAGAGACCGAUAGCGCACAAGUAGAGUGAUCGAAAGAUGAAAAGCACUUUGAAAAGAGAGUUAAACAGUAUGUGAAAUUGUUGAAAGGGAAGCGCUUGCAACCAGACUUGAGCGCGGCGGUUCCCCCUUGCUUCUGCUUGGGUUACUCCGCCGUGUCCAGGCCAACAUCGGUUCUGGGGGUCGGUCAAAGGCUCUGGGAAUGUAUCUACCCACGGGUAGACUUAUAGACCAGGGUGUCAUGCGACCUCCCGGGACCGAGGAACGCGCUUCGGCUCGGAUGUUGGCGUAAUGGUUGUCAGCGACCCGUCUUGAAACACGGACCAAGGAGUCUAACAUCUAUGCGAGUGUUUGGGUGUCAAACCCGGAACGCGGAAUGAAAGUGAACGGAGGUAGGAAGCUUCGGCUGCACUAUCGACCGAUCCUGAAGUUUACGGAUGGAUUUGAGUAAGAGCAUAGCUGUUGGGACCCGAAAGAUGGUGAACUAUGCCUGAAUAGGGUGAAGCCAGAGGAAACUCUGGUGGAGGCUCGCAGCGGUUCUGACGUGCAAAUCGAUCGUCAAAUUUAGGUAUAGGGGCGAAAGACUAAUCGAACCAUCUGGUAGCUGGUUCCUGCGA